AUGAACGCUGGCGGCAUGCCUAACCCAUGCAAGUCGAUCGGUAAGGCUCUUCGGAGUACCCGAGAGGCGGACGGCUGAGUAACGCGUAGGAACACACCUUGCAGUGAGGGAUAAGACACCGAAAGGUGUUCUAAUACCGCAUACGGUCUUCGGAUUAAAGCAUUUAUGCGCUGAAGGAGUGGCCUGCGUCAUAUUAGAUAGUUGGUGAGGUAAUGGCUCACCAAGUCGAUGAUGUGUAGCUGGUCUGAGAGGAUGAUCAGCCAGACUGGAACUGAGACACGGUCCAGACUCCUACGGGAGGCAGCAGUGAGGAAUAUUUCACAAUGAGCGAAAGCUUGAUGGAGCAAUGCCGCGUGCAGGAUGAAGGCCCUCGGGUUGUAAACUGCUUUUAUAAGAGAAGAUUAUGACGGUAACUUAUGUAUAAGGGACGGCUAACUACGUG
rnacentral:rRNA from 1 species